rnacentral:rRNA from 1 species
AGAGUUUGAUCCUGGCUCAGGAUGAACGCUAGCUACAGGCUUAACACAUGCAAGUCGAGGGGCAUCAUUAUCGAAGCUUGCUUUGAUAGAUGGCGACCGGCGCACGGGUGAGUAACGCGUAUCCAACCUUCCCCUUAGUAGAGGAUAGCCCGGCGAAAGUCGGAUUAAUACUCUAUGUUGUAUUUUGAGGACAUCUGACGAAUACCAAAGAUUUAUCGCUAAGGGAUGGGGAUGCGUCUGAUUAGCUUGUCGGCGGGGUAACGGCCCACCGAGGCGACGAUCAGUAGGGGUUCUGAGAGGAAGGUCCCCCACAUUGGUACUGAGACACGGACCAAACUCCUACGGGAGGCAGCAGUGAGGAAUAUUGGUCAAUGGGCGUAGGCCUGAACCAGCCAAGUAGCGUGCAGGAAGACUGCCCUAUGGGUUGUAAACUGCUUUUAUGCGGGAAUAAAGUCAGGUACGUGUACCUGUUUGCAUGUACCGUAUGAAUAAGGACCGGCUAAUUCCGUGCCAGCAGCCGCGGUAAUACGGAAGGUCCGGGCGUUAUCCGGAUUUAUUGGGUUUAAAGGGAGCGCAGGCGGAGGAUUAAGCGUGACGUGAAAUGUCCCGGCUCAACCGUGGAACUGCGUCGCGAACUGGUUUUCUUGAGUGAGUGCGACGUCGGCGGAAUUCGUGGUGUAGCGGUGAAAUGCUUAGAUAUCACGAAGAACCCCGAUUGCGAAGGCAGCCGACGAGUCCUUAACUGACGCUAAAGCUCGAAAGUGCGGGUAUCGAACAGGAUUAGAUACCCUGGUAGUCCGCACGGUAAACGAUGGAUGCCCGCUGUCUGCGAUACACUG